UGUAAAGCCACCACAGGUGUGUAAAGUCACCACAGGUGUGUAAGGCCACCACAGGUGUGUGAGGCAACCACUAGAGGUGUGUAAAGCCACCACAGGUGUGUAAACCACCACAGGUGUGUGAGGCAACCACUAGAGGUGUGUAAAGCCACCACAGGUGUGUAAGGCCACCACAGGUGCGUGAGGCAACCACUAGAGGUGUGUAAAGCCACCACAGGUGUGUAAAGCCACCACAGGUGUGUAAAGUCACCACAGGUGUGUAAGGCCACCACAGGUGUGUGAGGCAACCACUAGAGGUGUGUAAAGCCACCACAGGUGUGUAAGCCACCACAGGUGUGUGAGGCAACCACUAGAGGUGUGUAAAGCCACCACAGGUGUGUAAGCCACCACAGGUGUCUAAGGCCACCACAGUUGUGUAAAGCUACCACAGGUAUGUGAGGCUACCACAGGUGUGUAAUGCCACCACAGGUGUGUAAAGCCACCACAGGUGUGUAAAGCUACCACAGGUGUGUAAAGUCACCACAGGUGUGUUCAGAGACCACAGCUCACAGCCCCUCUUCUUCUCCCUGCUGUCAGAGCACAAACUCUAUAUUACUCUUUUCUAGUCUUUCACUCUUUCACUGUGUAAGGCUAAAACAAAAGACAACAGUGUGAAUUAGUAAUUCGUCCUGUGAAGUUUAAGCUCCCUGAGGAGCUGGCUUUUGAGAGAGACCCCAUUACAGACCCAAGCAUGAUUAUCUCCAAGAUGCCUUGUCAAGGAUGGGCUAGCCCACAACCCUCUGAGAAAGGAAGCAGAAAACAGCAAAAAAUCCAAAGUAAAGAUUCCAUGCCUUCAGAGCAGAAGGAAAGUACAUCAUUAGUGUGAAAAUGCUGGUUUUGACCAGAGCCGGGAGCUGUGAACAUUCCUAGACAACUCCCUAAAGCAAAAGAUUCAGCCAUACUUGAUCUCAUGGAAUUAGAACGCCUGUGGUGGGGGGCUGGAGAGAUGACUCGCUGCUUAGGAGUGAGUGUACAGUGUCUUGUGUAGUUCAGUUCCCAGCACCCAGGCUGGGUGGUUCAUGACUACCUGUAACUCCAGCCCCAGGGAAUUGGUUGCUCUCUUCUCAUCUCCAAGAGGACCCCCACACACAUGGCAGAAACACA
rnacentral:lncRNA from 1 species